rnacentral:lncRNA from 1 species
GGCAGGACUGCCGGGGAGUUUUCCGAAAACCCGCGAGUUUACCAAAACAGGAAUAGCAGUGAUUUUUUACUUAUUCUUUGGCAGAGUUUACGCGCGACAGUGACUGAUUGACUGAGUGGUUGUUUUUGGUAAUUGUUGGUAUGAAUUUUUGGUUUAGUCAGGAAAUCCCGCGAGCAACCCCGGUCAACCCGGUUUCUGUUUAACAGUUGGCGUGUAGAAUCGGCAGGACUGCCGGAGAGUUUUCCGAAAACCCGCGAGUUUACCAAAACAGGAAUAGCAGUGAUUUUUUACUUAUUCUUUGGCAGAGUUUACGCGCGACAGUGACUGAUUGACUGAGUGGUUGUUUGUGGUAAUUGUUGUUAUGAAUUUUUGGUUUGGACAGGUAAGUUAUAUAAUAAAAAUUUGAAUUUUCAGGAUCUAAACAUGUGUUUAUUUCCUUUAAAAAUACUUUUUAAAUAAUAAUAGAUCAUUCGCUACCUGUUUUGGAUUGGGUAAGAAGUAUAUGAUGCUAUUUGUUUGCAUUAAUCACUUCGAUAACCAUUCGAAAUAUUAUUAAAAAUGAUAAUUUUACUACGGACACUUCAAAAGGUAGGCUAAAUUUUUUAUUAAAUUAUUUGUGAAAAAAAAAAUAGAUAAAUUCAUUAUAUUAUGCAUAUAAUGAAAAAAACAUUAUUAUUGCAAAAUUGAAAAAACCGAUAAAAAGGAUCAAAAAUCAAUUUUGUUCCAACAUUUUUUAGGUAUUUAAAAGCCACAAAGAACCUUUAAAAUUUACUCACAAAA